GAACGUAUGGCUUAGUGCUCAGAGCGCCUGGCCCUUACAGGAGGCGCGGGUUCGAGUCCCGCUACGUUAC
rnacentral:tRNA from 1 species